rnacentral:rRNA from 1 species
ACUCCUACGGGAGGCAGCAGUGAGGAAUAUUGCACAAUGGGGGAAACCCUGAUGCAGCAACGCCGCGUGAGUGAUGACGGCCUUCGGGUUGUAAAGCUCUGUCUUUGGGGACGAUAAUGACGGUACCCAAGGAGGAAGUCACGGCUAACUACGUGCCAGCAGCCGCGGUAAU